AGGACGAACGCUGGCGGCGUGCUUCAUACAUGCAAGUCGAACGAGGUCCAUCUGGUGGCAACACCAGGGAAGACCUAGUGGCGAACGGGUGCGUAACACGUGAGCAACCUGCCCCGAAGACCGGGAUAACAGCGGGAAACCGCUGCUAAUACCGGAUGCCCCCACGGAUCCGCAUGGACCUGUGAGGAAAUGGGUUUCCGCUUCGGGAGGGGCUCGCGGCCUAUCAGCUUGUUGGCGGGGUAACGGCCCACCAAGGCGACGACGGGUAGCUGGUCUGAGAGGACGAUCAGCCACACUGGGACUGAGACACGGCCCAGACUCCUACGGGAGGCAGC
rnacentral:rRNA from 1 species